UAGCGGAGGAAAAGAAACCAACCGGGAUUGCCUUAGUAGCGGCGAGUGAAGCGGCAAGAGCUCAAAUUUGAAAUCUAGCGCCUUCGGUGCUCGAGUUGUAAUUUGUAGAGUGGAUCCUUGGGGCCGUUCCUUGCCUAUGUUCCUUGGAACAGGACGUCAUGGAGGGUGAGAACCCCGUGUGGCGAGGGGUGCGGUUCCGUGUAAGGGCUGCUCGAAGAGUCGAGUUGUUUGGGAAUGCAGCUCUAAGUGGGUGGUAAAUUCCAUCUAAAGCUAAAUACUGGCGAGAGACCGAUAGCGAACAAGUACAGUGAUGGAAAGAUGAAAAGAACUUUGAAAAGAGAGUGAAAAAGUACGUGAAAUUGUUGAAAGGGAAGGGCAUUUGAUCAGACAUGGUGUUUUGCGCCCCCUGCUCCUUGUGGGUGGGGGACUCUCGCAGCUCACUGGGCCAGCAUCAGUUUUGGCGGCUGGACAAAGCCGGAGGAAUGUGGCUUCCCUCGGGAAGUGUUAUAGCCUACGGGAAUACAGCCAGCUGGGACUGAGGAACGCGACUUUUGUCAAGGAUGCUGGCAUAAUGGUUAUAUGCCGCCCGUCUUG
rnacentral:rRNA from 1 species